rnacentral:misc_RNA from 1 species
GUGAAUUUCACCAAUUGAGGUAUGUCAUGAAUUUUUAAAGAUUACCAACUUAAUUUUUUUAACUAGCAAACUAUUAGUAUUUCUUUCAAAACCAUCCUCCCUCCAUUGUUAUCUUUUAUCUGUGAACCAAACUCUGUUACUAUUAAUUUUUUUUUCCCUAACAAUCAAAUGAUUUUUAGACAAUUGAAUCUUAAAGGAGGCUAGUAACUAAAUACCAAAUGAUGAAUCAAUUUCCACCGCAAUGAAUCAAAUGCAAUUAAGAAAUGGAAUUAGAUAUCUCUACCACUCCUUGUCUGGCUCUAGCACACCAGCCACAGGGAAUAUGGCCCAAAGAACGAAA